CCCCAAAAAUAUUAUUUGCGACGAAAGUAAAAAUUUUAUCGCUAAUAAUUUUUUAACGAUGAAAAUUUUUCGUCGCUAAUAGUUCCCAUCUAAAUAUUUUUCCAUAAAAAAGUUUUUUCAACAAAAAAGUUAUUUACGAUGAAAAUUUUUCAUCAUUAAUUAAUUUAUUAGCAACGAAAAAGCUAUUUCAUCAUUAAUAAUUAUUGAAAAAAAUUUAUUUUUUAAAAAAAUUUGUGA
rnacentral:lncRNA from 1 species